CAGCAGGUGGCCGAAAAAUGGCAUAAGUCUUUUAAACUUAUCAUAGUCUACACUCCUGAUGA
rnacentral:tRNA from 1 species